rnacentral:rRNA from 1 species
AUUGAACGCUGGCGGCAUGCUUUACACAUGCAAGUCGAACGGUAACAGGCCGCAAGGUGCUGACGAGUGGCGAACGGGUGAGUAAUGCAUCGGAACGUGCCCAGUCGUGGGGGAUAACUGCUCGAAAGAGUGGCUAAUACCGCAUACGAUCUAUGGAUGAAAGCGGGGGACCGUAAGGCCUCGCGCGAUUGGAGCGGCCGAUGUCAGAUUAGGUAGUUGGUGGGGUAAAGGCUCACCAAGCCAACGAUCUGUAGCUGGUCCGAGAGGACGACCAGCCACACUGGGACUGAGACACGGCCCAGACUCCUACGGGAGGCAGCAGUGGGGAAUUUUGGACAAUGGGCGCAAGCCUGAUCCAGCAAUGCCGCGUGCAGGAAGAAGGCCUUCGGGUUGUAAACUGCUUUUGUACGGAACGAAACGGCUCUGGUUAAUACCCGGGGCUAAUGACGGUACCGUAAGAAUAAGCACCGGCUAACUACGUG